rnacentral:rRNA from 1 species
CCUACGGGGGGCUGCAGUGGGGAAUAUUGGGCAAUGGGGGAAACCCUGACCCAGCGACGCCGCGUGAGGGAAGAAGGUUUUCGGAUUGUAAACCUCUGUCUUUGGGGACGAAGAAAGUGACGGUACCCAAGGAGGAAGCCACGGCUAACUACGUGCCAGCAGCCGCGGUAAAACGUAGGUGGCAAGCGUUGUCCGGAUUUACUGGGUGUAAAGGGAGCGCAGGUGGACUGACAAGUCGAAUGUGAAAAUCAUGGGCUCAACUCAUGAACUGCGUUCGAUACUGCCGGUCUUGAGUGGAGUAGGGGCAGGCGGAAUUCCCGGUGUAGCGGUGGAAUGCGUAGAUAUCGGGAGGAAUACCGGUAGCGAAGGCGGCCUGCUGGGCUCUAACUGACACUGAGGCUCGAAAGCGUGGGGAGCAAACAGGAUUAGAUACCCGGGUAGUC